rnacentral:rRNA from 1 species
GAUGAACGCUGGCGGCGUGCCUAAUACAUGCAAGUAGAACGCUGAAGGAGGAGCUUGCUCUUCUGGAUGAGUUGCGAACGGGUGAGUAACGCGUAGGUAACCUGCCUGGUAGCGGGGGAUAACUAUUGGAAACGAUAGCUAAUACCGCAUGACAACAGUUAUUGCAUGAUAACUGUUUAAAAGGGGCAACUGCUCCACUACCAGAUGGACCUGCGUUGUAUUAGCUAGUUGGUGAGGUAACGGCUCACCAAGGCGACGAUACAUAGCCGACCUGAGAGGGUGAUCGGCCACACUGGGACUGAGACACGGCCCAGACUCCUACGGGAGGCAGCAGUAGGGAAUCUUCGGCAAUAGACGGAAGUCUGACCGAGCAACGCCGCGUGAGUGAAGAAGGUUUUCGGAUCGUAAAGCUCUGUUGUAAGAGAAGAACGAGUGUGAGAGUGGAAAGUUCACACUGUGACGGUAUCUGACCAGAAAGGGACGGCUAACUACGUG